GCGUUAGUGAUGCUUGCGCUGGCCGCUC
rnacentral:sRNA from 1 species